UACGUAGGGGGCUAGCGUUGUCCGGAAUCAUUGGGCGUAAAGCGCGUGUAGGCGGUUCGGUAAGUCCGCUGUGAAAGUCGGGGGCUCAACCCUCGAAAGCCGGUGGAUACUGUCGGGCUAGAGUACGGAAGAGGCGAGUGGAAUUCCUGGUGUAGCGGUGGAAUGCGCAGAUAUCAGGAGGAACACCAAUAGCGAAGGCAGCUCGCUGGGACGUUACUGACACUGAGGCGCGAAAGCGUGGGGAGCGAACAGGG
rnacentral:rRNA from 1 species